UUGGAGGGCAAGUCUGGUGCCAGCAGCCGCGGUAAUUCCAGCUCCAAUAGCGUAUAUUAAAGUUGUUGCAGUUAAAAAGCUCGUAGUUGAAUUUCGGGGUUAGUAGGUUGGUCGUGCCACUGGUAUGUACUGGUCUCACUGAUUCCUCCUUCCUGAUGAGCCGUAAUGCCAUUAAUUUGGUGUUGCGAGGAAUCUGGACUGUUACUUUGAAAAAAUUAGAGUGUUUAAAGCAGGCUAACGCUUGAAUACAUUAGCAUGGAAUAAUGAAAUAGGACGUUCGAUCUUAUUUUGUUGGUUUCUAGGAUUGACGUAAUGAUUAAUAGGGAUAGUUGGGGGCAUUAGUAUUCAAUUGUCAGAGGUGAAAUUCUUGGAUUUAUUGAAGACUAACUACUGCGAAAGCAUUUGCCAAGGAUGUUUUCAUUAAUCAAGAACGAGAGUUAGGGGAUCGAAGACGAUCAGAUACCGUCGUAGUCUUAACCAUAAACUAUGCCGACUAGGGAUCGGAUGAUGUUAAUUUUUUAAUGACUCAUUCGGCGCCUUACGGGAAACCAAAGUGUUUGGGUUC
rnacentral:rRNA from 1 species